rnacentral:rRNA from 1 species
UACGAAGGGGGCUAGCGUUGCUCGGAAUCACUGGGCGUAAAGCGCACGUAGGCGGCUUUUUAAGUCAGGGGUGAAAUCCUGGAGCUCAACUCCAGAACUGCCUUUGAUACUGAAGAGCUUGAGUCCGGGAGAGGUGAGUGGAACUGCGAGUGUAGAGGUGAAAUUCGUAGAUAUUCGCAAGAACACCAGUGGCGAAGGCGGCUCACUGGCCCGGUACUGACGCUGAGGUGCGAAAGCGUGGGGAGCAAACAGGG